GACGAACCGUGCGAACGUUAUUCGGAAUCACUGGGCUUAAAGCGCGUGUAGGCGGGCCGGCACGUCGGUCGCUGAAAUCCCCCGGCUCAACCGGGGAAGGGGCGCCGAUACGACCGGCCUGGAGGGACGUAGGGGGGGGCUGGAACUUCCGGUGGAGCGGUGAAAUGCGUUGAGAUCGGAAGGAACGCCCCGUGGCGAAAGCGAGCCCCCUGGACGUCUACUGACGCUGAGACGCGAAAGCCAGGGGAGCGAACGGGG
rnacentral:rRNA from 1 species